GUUGAUUGUGAAAUGCCAGUUGAAGCAUAUGUCCUGCAAGCUUAGGGGUGCUACAAGUUGACCACUGCAGCAGUAAAGAUGACUCUGAAGAACGGCGUGGGAUGGUUCCUUUCAAAUGCACUUGAGCAGCGGUCUCCAACCACAGGGCCACAGAGCUGGAGGUGAGCAGCAGCUGGAUCUACCAUGAAAGACUUGUGAAUCCAGGAAGAGAGACUGACUGGGCAACAUGUUAUUCAGGGUCUCCCUCUGUUGUCCAAGGCUGGAGUGUAGUAGUGCUAUCGCAGCUGACUGCAGCCUCAACCUUCCAGGCUGAAGCGAUCCUCCCACCUCAACCUCCCACGUGGCUGAGACUACAGGUGCUUGCCACUAUGCCCAACUAACAUUUGGAAUUUUCGUAUACGUGGAUUCUAGAGGGGUGACAGCGAAACGUGAGUGGGACCAUCCAGUUGCAGGAAAACAAGCUUGACACGCCCACUAAUUCUACAUUAUGCUCCUACCUCCCGGCAGCCUCUCCAGGCCCAGAACUUUCUCCAGUCAGCCUCUACAGACCAAGCUCAUGACUCACAAUGGCCUAUUUAGGCCCAUACCCUACGUCACGGCAGCCUCCGCAGAUGAGGCUACUGCCUCACAACAGCCUCCACAGGCACAGCUCCAUCGUUACAAUGGCCUCUUUAGACCCAGCUCCUGCCUCCCAGCCUUCUCUCCAGGCCCUGAACUUUCUCAAGUCGACCUCACCAGGCCCAGCUCAUGCUUCUUUGCAGCCUCUCCAGGCCCAGCUCCUGCAUCUUGGUGGCCCCUCCAGGCCC
rnacentral:lncRNA from 1 species